CGCUCUUUGUAUAAAUAAAUUUAAGAUGGAGAGUCGGACCUGCCCAGUGACAUACGUGUUAAACGGCCGCGGUACUCUGACCGUGCAAAGGUAGCAUAAUCAUUUGCCUUUUAAUUGGAGGCUUGUAUGAAUGGUUUAACGAGAACUAAGCUGUCUCCUUUUAAUUAUUUAGAAAUUAACUUAUAGGUGAAGAGGCCUACAUGUGUUUGAGGGACAAGAAGACCCUUUUGAGUUUUAGUAAAAUUAGAAAUAAUUUUGUUUUAAUUGUUGUAAUUAAAAUAUAAUACUAUGUGAUGGCAUAGGUUAAUUUUUUAGUUAAUCUUUAGUUGGGGCGACUAAGGAGUAGAGUAAGCUUCCUUUAAACAUAUAAUUAUGAUUGGCUGGUUAUUUUGAUCCAGUGUUUACUGAUUAAAGGAAAAAAUUACCAUAGGGAUAACAGCGUAAUCUUUUUGGAGAGUUCUUAUCGAAGGAAAGGUUUGCGACCUCGAUGUUGGACUAAGAUAUCCCAGGGGUGUAGAAGCUGCUGAGGGUUGGUCUGUUCGACCAUUAAAAUCUU
rnacentral:rRNA from 1 species